GCCGAUAUAGCUCAGUGGUAGAGCGCAUCCUUGGUAAGGAUGAGGUCACGGGUUCAAGUCCCGUUAUUGGCU
rnacentral:tRNA from 2 species